ACCUAGGUGGCUUAAUUGGUUGAGCGUCUGACUUCGGCUCAGGUCAUGAUCUCACGGUUCCCUGGUUCGAGCCCUGCCUUGGUC
rnacentral:tRNA from 1 species